CGGACGGGUGAGUAAUACUUAGGAAUCUGCCCAUUAGUGGGGGACAACAUUCGGAAACGGAUGCUAAUACCGCAUACGCCCUACGGGGGAAAGCGGGGGAUCUUCGGACCUCGCGCUAAUGGAUGAGCCUAAGGCGGAUUAGCUUGUUGGUGAGGUAAUGGCUCACCAAGGUGACGAUCCGUAGCUGGUCUGAGAGGACGAUCAGCCACACUGGGACUGAGACACGGCCCAG
rnacentral:rRNA from 1 species